CUUGAUUAGUGGCGCACGGGUGAGUAAUGCAUAGAUAAUGUGCCCCUUAGUUCGGGAUAGCCACUGGAAACGGUGAUUAAUACCGGAUACUCCUUCUUGUUAUAAGACAAGUCGGGAAAGUUUUUCGCUAAGGGAUCAGUCUAUGUUCCAUCAGCUUGUUGGUGAGGUAAUGGCUCACCAAGGCUAUGACGGAUAUCUGGUUUGAGAGGAUGAUCAGACACACUGGAACUGAGACACGGUCCAGACUCCUACGGGAGGCAGCAGUGAGGAAUAUUGCACAAUGGAGGAAACUCUGAUGCAGCAACGCCGCGUGGAGGAUGACGCAUUUCGGUGUGUAAACUCCUUUUAUUAGGGAAGAUAAUGACGGUACCUAAUGAAUAAGCACUGGCUAACUCCGUGCCAGCAGCCGCGGUAAUACGGAGGGUGCAAGCGUUACUCGGAAUCACUGGGCGUAAAGGGUGCGUAGGCUGGCUUUUAAGUCAGAUGUGAAAUCCAAUGGCUCAACCAUUGAACUGCAUUUGAAACUGAAAGCCUAGAGUUCAGAAGGGGCAGAUGGAAUUAGUGGUGUAGGGGUAAAAUCCGUAGAUAUCACUAGGAAUAUCAAAAGCGAAGGCGAUCUGCUGGGAUGAUACUGACG
rnacentral:rRNA from 1 species